rnacentral:tRNA from 1 species
GUCACGGUCGUUUAGCUCAGUUGGUUAGAGCGUGGUGCUAAUAACGCCAAGGUCGCGAGUUCGACCGUACGUCCCCCCAUGUGGCA